UGGGGUAUCGCCAAGCGGUAAGGCACCGGUUUCUGAUUCCGGCAUUCCGAGUUUCGAAUCCUCGUACCCCAGCCA
rnacentral:tRNA from 1 species